AAAUUGAAGAGUUUGAUCAUGGCUCAGAUUGAACGCUGGCGGCAGGCCUAACACAUGCAAGUCGAACGGUAACAGGAAGCAGCUUGCUGCUUCGCUGACGAGUGGCGGACGGGUGAGUAAUGUCGGGGAAACUGCCUGAUGGAGGGGGAUAACUACUGGAAACGGUGGCUAAUACCGCAUAACGUCGCAAGACCAAAGAGGGGGACCUUCGGGCCUCUUGCCAUCAGAUGUGCCCAGAUGGGAUUAGCUAGUUGGUGAGGUAACGGCUCACCAAGGCGACGAUCCCUAGCUGGUCUGAGAGGAUGACCAGCCACACUGGAACUGAGACACGGUCCAGACUCCUACGGGAGGCAGCAGUGGGGAAUAUUGCACAAUGGGCGCAAGCCUGAUGCAGCCAUGCCGCGUGUAUGAAGAAGGCCUUCGGGUUGUAAAGUACUUUCAGCGGGGAGGAAGGUGUUGUGGUUAAUAACCGCAGCAAUUGACGUUACCCGCAGAAGAAGCACCGGCUAACUCCGUGCCAGCAGCCGCGGUAAUACGGAGGGUGCAAGCGUUAAUCGGAAUUACUGGGCGUAAAGCGCACGCAGGCGGUCUGUCAAGUCGGAUGUGAAAUCCCCGGGCUCAACCUGGGAACUGCAUUCGAAACUGGCAGGCUUGAGUCUUGUAGAGGGGGGUAGAAUUCCAGGUGUAGCGGUGAAAUGCGUAGAGAUCUGGAGGAAUACCGGUGGCGAAGGCGGCCCCCUGGACAAAGACUGACGCUCAGGUGCGAAAGCGUGGGGAGCAAACAGGAUUAGAUACCCUGGUAGUCCACGCCGUAAACGAUGUCUACUUGGAGGUUGUGCCCUUGAGGCGUGGCUUCCGGAGCUAACGCGUUAAGUAGACCGCCUGGGGAGUACGGCCGCAAGGUUAAAACUCAAAUGAAUUGACGGGGGCCCGCACAAGCGGUGGAGCAUGUGGUUUAAUUCGAUGCAACGCGAAGAACCUUACCUGGUCUUGACAUCCACAGAAGAAUCCAGAGAUGGAUUGGUGCCUUCGGGAACUGUGAGACAGGUGCUGCAUGGCUGUCGUCAGCUCGUGUUGUGAAAUGUUGGGUUAAGUCCCGCAACGAGCGCAACCCUUAUCCUUUGUUGCCAGCGAUUAGGUCGGGAACUCAAAGGAGACUGCCAGUGAUAAACUGGAGGAAGGUGGGGAUGACGUCAAGUCAUCAUGGCCCUUACGACCAGGGCUACACACGUGCUACAAUGGCGCAUACAAAGAGAAGCGACCUCGCGAGAGCAAGCGGACCUCAUAAAGUGCGUCGUAGUCCGGAUUGGAGUCUGCAACUCGACUCCAUGAAGUCGGAAUCGCUAGUAAUCGUGGAUCAGAAUGCCACGGUGAAUACGUUCCCGGGCCUUGUACACACCGCCCGUCACACCAUGGGAGUGGGUUGCAAAAGAAGUAGGUAGCUUAACCUUCGGGAGGGCGCUUACCACUUUGUGAUUCAUGACUGGGGUGAAGUCGUAACAAGGUAACCGUAGGGGAACCUGCGGUUGGAUCACCUCCUUACCUUAAAGAA
rnacentral:rRNA from 1 species